rnacentral:lncRNA from 1 species
CGCUCUGCCUGCCGUGUGCUUCGAGCUGGCCAGGCGGCUACGCUAGCCCUUGGAGACUUUGACCGUGCACUGCUGCGCAAGGGCAUGGUGAUGGUAAGCCCUGAGAUGAACCCCACCAUUUGCUCCGUGUUCGAGGCAGAGAUAGUCCUACUGUUCCAUGCCACCACUUUCCGGCGGGGAUUCCAGGUGACAGUACACGUGGGCAACGUACGUCAGACAGCAGUGGUGGAAAAGAUCCAUGCAAAGGUGAGAGGGACCCAGCCACGCUCCCUUUCUUCAGGGAAAGUCUGUAUUCUGACUCCAUACAGGAGGAAAGCCUAACAUCAGACCUGCUGAGAUCCCCUGAUCACAUAGAGGGAGCAAAGCUCCCCUAGGGUGGGAAGCAGCCCGCCUGGGGGCCUCACAGGUCAAGAGUCAAGGUUGACAGAAUGGGAUGGGAGGCACUCGCCAGGGCCGUGACCACUUUUCUCCUGAAGGACAAGCUGCGGACAGGGGAGAAGGCAGUGGUACGUUUCCGUUUCCUGAAACACCCAGAAUACCUGAAGGUGGGCGCCAAACUGCUGUUCCGGGAGGGUGUUACCAAGGGCAUCGGUCAUGUCACGGAUGUACAAGCCAUCGCAGCAGGAGAAGCCCAGGCCAGCAUGGGCUUCUGAGUCCUCAAAACAGCUCUACUGCUGUUCCUACAAUACAUAAGGUGACUUCCGGCCAUGCUGCCCACUGUUGGCGGCUCUGUGUGUUAAUAGGCUAGGGAGAGGAAUGUCUGCUGCCACUGCUGCCUGCCACACUUCUGGAGAGGUGUCAAGUUUGGUGUGGCCAGGGUGGGCAGGCCUGAGGGAGAAGACACUUCAGGCAGUGCUCAGCAGCCGUGUGCCCCCUGGUUGGUUCAUUAAGCCUGGCAGCUGCACAGUCUUGUCUACUGGAGGGAGCAGAACAUAGCCAUCUUGGCUCACCAUCAGGACUGGGCAUGACUCACCAGUGUGGUCUCUGCACUUCAGGAAUUGUCAACAACUGGGGUGGACCUUGACAGCACUUCUUUUUUAUACCUCUUCUCAAGGCCACGUAAGUUACCUAUCUCUACCUGACUAUGGAUAACAGACAGUGCUCCUAGCCAUCCGGUGGACCCAGGGACUGAAGAGAUGGCACAGAGACCGUGAACGACUGUGCUCCUACCCUGUGUUGAUCCUGAUGCAUAUUCCUGCUCCGUUUCCUUCUCUCAAGGGCCAUUUCCCCAGACCCUCCUGUCAUAGGCCCCACUUGGUGCUAUUUGUGGUGCUGGCUCAGGCGUGGGGUUGCCAGGCUAAGACUUGGCCCACCAAAGGCCAGCUGCAUGUCAGUUUCUCCCCCCCCCCCAGUUAUGCUGGCUUCCGUGCUACAUCAAAUAGUGUGGUAGCCACAGGACCUAAUGCAGUUUGUGCAUCCUGGGGUCCUCAUCCCCAACCCUGCUCUUAACCUAAAAUUUUCUUGUUUUAGUAUUUUGUAGUGACCACCCCUUCCCUCUGUUGCCGGGAACCAGGAGGAAAGGGAAGGAUGUCCUAUUUCCUGUUCUAGGCAUGGACUCCUCCUUACCUUUGUUAGCAUCCUGGGUUCCCGUGAACUCAGGGAUUUGUUGAAGAUUCUCUGCAUAUAUAUAUAUAUGUAUAUAUAUUUAAAUACACAUAUAUAUUGUACAGAAUAAAAAUGUUUUAUUGG